GGGUGCAAGGAACAGGGUGGAGGGGGCAGAGGAGGAGAAACAGGCCAUGAGUAACCAAGGCCAGGACGGUCCCAGAGGGCCAGCUCAGGGAGCCUGGGUUUGGGGCUCGGGAGAAAUGGGAGAAGAGGGCCCAGCUACGCUCAAUGCACCGUAGUACUGCUGCUGGCCAGAAGAGGGCAGUGGUGUCCAUGUGAAAUGGAAGUAAGACUAGGAAGGAGUAAGGAGGGCAAAUGGACAUUUAGAUGUCAGUACAUCCGUCUGCCCAUCUAUCUAUCCAUCCAUCCAUCCAUCCGUCCAUCCGUUCAUCCGUCUGUCCGUCCAUCCAUCCUAAUAAUUUUAGAGCCCGUGUUAUAUGUCUAGAACUGUCAAGGAAAAAAAAAAAACAGAAUAAGGGCUGGAAGACUCGUUUGAGAUCAUCUAAUACCAUCAGCUCAUUUUACACAUGUGGCGAAUCCAGUUUUUACAUUUUGUUUGUGAGGUUCCGUCCAUUUAAAUAGCAAUAAUAAUCCUACUUUUCAGAGCAUUCACAUACAUAUUAUUUCACUGGGUUCUUAAAUCAAAUACCAAGAUCCCUAUUUUAAAAAGGAAGACCAAUGCCUGCCAAAGAGGACCUAAGUGUCCUCUGAUCACAGAGGGUUUACAAACAAGCUGUGGUCUUCUGACUGGUAACUCACCACACCACACUAUUCCUUGUAAGCCAUGUUGGCCCCUGCUUCCCUGCCCAGGGUAAAGAUGAACACAGCAGCAGUUUCCACCUUCCAUACUACCUGCCCCCUAAAUGCCUCUCCAGCAGACGCCCGGCACACCCCACAGUGCCAGACCCACUUCCACCAGCACUUAUCAGUGGUGUAAGUAUUUACAAUUGGACACUCGCUUGUGUUCUUAAUGAGCUGCAAGGAGAAGAGAUGAAAGAGGAGACACAAUUAAAUGCAGGAAAGGUUUAAUAGGUCAUGGGAGAAAGAAAGAAAGA